rnacentral:misc_RNA from 1 species
AGGGAAGGGAUGAUGAACAACAAUUUUCUGAUGAAGAAGAGGCACCUGAAAUAACUUAUUGGGAAGCAGUUGGUUGGCUUGCGAUUUUAACUUCAUGGAUUUCUGUGUUAUCUGCAUACCUUGUUGAUGCCAUCCAGGGAGCAUCUGACACGUUGAACAUGCCUGUGGCUUUUAUUAGCGUCAUCCUGCUUCCAAUUGUGGGAAAUGCUGCUGAGCAUGCAAGUGCAAUAAUGUUUGCCAUGAAGGACAAGCUCGAUCUUUCACUUGGAGUUGCAAUUGGAUCUUGCACACAGAUAUCAAUGUUUGUGAUCCCCUUUUGUGUGGUCGUUGGGUGGCUAAUGGGACAACCUAUGGACUUGAAUUUUCAACUCUUUGAAACAGCAACCCUCUUUGUCACUGUGCUAGUUGUGGCAUUCAUGUUGCAGGAAGGGACAUCAAACUAUUUUAAAGGAUUAAUGCUCAUUCUCUGCUAUCUCAUAGUGGCAGCGAGUUUCUUUGUACAUGUUGAUCCUUCAAAUGGUGACUAAAGAUGCAUCGAUCUUAACAUCACUGGCUAAAGCAAAAUAUUGGCAAUGUUGUGUUGUAGACGGGAAUGUCACUAGAGGCAUUAUUUUAAAGAUCCUCUUCAUGAUCACGGAGAGCUAUCCUUAAUAUUUGCUUCCUUUAUUCUUUUCAUGAUAUUCCUGUAUUAACGUAAGAAACGUUCGCCGUUGAUCCUUAGGUUCUUUUGUUCUUUUU